rfam:Glossina palpalis gambiensis isolate 146720 unplaced genomic scaffold Scaffold16, whole genome shotgun sequence.
AUUUCACCAUAGCAAGCGCGCUUACGACAACCAGCCUCCGCGAAAUAAUACUUAACAGGCGUCCCGCGGGGGAAACUGGAGGAAGCGUGUGUCGGGGAUAGUUUUUAGUAAGUAGGCACCAUGGAUGGCGAAUCUUGAAUGCUGCUAGUAAGAACCAGCCGUAUCUGUUAAAGAUUUUCUGCCUCUAGC